UACGGAGGGUGCAAGCGUUAUCCGGAUUUACUGGGUUUAAAGGGAGCGCAGGCGGAUUGGUAAGUCAGUGGUGAAAUACCCGUGCUUAACAUGGGAACUGCCAUUGAUACUAUCAGUCUUGAAUGUUGUUGAGGUUUGCGGAAUGGGUCAUGUAGCGGUGAAAUGCAUAGAUAUGACCCGGAACACCUAUUGCGAAGGCAGCAGGCUAAACAAAUAUUGACGCUGAGGCUCGAAAGCGUGGGGAGCAAACAGG
rnacentral:rRNA from 1 species